rnacentral:lncRNA from 1 species
CAAUGUGUGAAUUCAUUAAGUCAUGACUGAACAAGGCAUCAGUCAUCACAUAUAAACAUGCAACGCACCAACACAUGUUAAUUUACGCUUUCGUUGACACAUCCAUUGCAACAUAUACACAGUGAAUGCAACGCCUAUAAAAGCGAUGGUAACAUGACACUAAGACCAAGUGAUAGAAAUAAACCACUCAUUAUGUUCACAGUGAAUGCAACACCUAUAAAAUGUGUUGAUAAUUAAACAAGAAAACAUGUACUACUGCAGCGAAUUGUACCACCUACUCAAUGUAAAAAUGCGCAAAAUUUAUCACAAUGUGUGCAUUCAAGAAGUUAUGGCUGAACUAGGAAUCAGUCAUCACAAAUAGGCUGCAAUGCACCAACACAUGUUUAUCUACGCUUUCGUUGACGCAUCCAUUGCAACAUAUACACAGUGAAUGCAACGCCUAUAAAAGCGAUGGUAACAUGACACUAAGACCAAGUGAUAGAAGUAAACCACUCAUUAUGUUCACAGUGAAUGCAAAACCUAUAAAAUGUGUUUAUAAUUAAACAAGAAAACAUGUACUACUGCAGCAAAUUGUACCAACUACUCAAUGUAAAAAUGUGCAAAAUUUAUCACAAUGUGUGCAUUCAAGAAGUAAUGGCUGAACUAGAAAUCAGUCAUCACAAAUAGGCUGCAAUGCACCAACACAUGUUUAUAUACGCUUUCGUUGACGCAUCCAUUGCAACAUAUACGCAGUGAAUGCAACGCCUAUAAAAGCGAUAAUAGCAAAAAACUAGGACCAACUGAUUGGGGUAAACAAUUAAACCGCGACCAGAGAUCGGAUCA